CCACCCCACCGCCAACUGAUGCUCUUGGGUGAUCCCAGGUUUGUGACCUCCUGUGGUGUUCUUUUGACCUCCUCUGCUGCUGCUCCCCCACCUCUAGGAAAGCCCGCUGAAUUUGGGUAGGGGCUUCUUCCAGCCCUCCUAAUUCCAGACUCUUCUCCUUUGCCCUUGGCCUGAGCUUGCUUCUAUGACUGGCCUCUUGUGGGUUUUGACAAGACCUCACUUAUUAAGGGACUGAACCUGUGGCUGAAGAGGCAAGGUGAAGGGAUGGGUAAGGUGGCUUCUAGACAUUUUGACAACAAGCAUGACCUUCCUUGAAAACCAGAUUAGGAGGGAUGGGUAUUGUGGAAUGAGGUGCACUUGAAAGAAGAUAUCAACCAGAAUUUUUAUAUCUGAUUUUGAAUGGUUUCUCAUAGUCUCAAUAGAAGAAACAGAGUAAGAAGUGGAGUGGGACCAAGCUGGGUAAGGGAAGCAGCUGGCCAUUUAUUCGCACAUUCGUGAGGAAUAAAGAUUAUGAAUGCUGGACCCAGAUGCCUGAGUUCACAUCCCAGCUGUGUCAGAUUUUUAAUUCUCCUUGAAUUUACUUUUGCUGUCGUCGACUUAAAAAAGACACACUACCUAAGAGCUGGGAGUU
rnacentral:lncRNA from 1 species